UACGUAGGAGGCAAGCGUUAUCCGGAUUUACUGGGCGUAAAGAGGGCGUAGGUGGCCUUUUAAGUCAAAUGUGAAAUCUCCCGGCUUAACUGGGAGGGUGCGUUUGAUACUGAUAGGCUUGAGUGCAGCAGAGGGAGAUGGAAUUCCCGGUGUAGUGGUGAAAUGCGUAGAUAUCGGGAAGAACACCAGUGGCGAAGGCGGUCUCCUGGGCUGUAACUGACACUGAGGCCCGAAGGCGUGGGGAGCAAACAGGAUUAGAUACCCGCGUA
rnacentral:rRNA from 1 species